GCAAGUCGAACGAGAAGCCCUUCGGGGUGGACAGUGGCUCACGGGUGCGUAACACGUGGGUAAUCAACCUUUUAGUCUGGGACAACCAGGGGAAACCCUGGCUAAUACCGGCUGUUGCUUACGGAACCUCGGUUCUGCCAGUCAAAGACCCGCAAGGGUUGCUAGAAGACGAGCCCGCGGCCCAUCAGUUAGUUGGUGAGGUAAUGGCUCACCAAGGCUAAGACGGGUAGCUGGUCUGAGAGGAUGAGC
rnacentral:rRNA from 1 species